AGAGAUGUGUGAUGACGCAUAUCAAUAAGCGGAGGAAAAGAAACUAACUAGGAUUCCCUUAGUAACGGCGAGUGAAGCGGGAAGAGCUCAAAUUUGAAAUCUUCAAGGGUUCUACCUUUACGAAUUGUAGUUUAUAGAAGUGUUUUCUGUUAGUGGAGUUCGGUAAAAGUUCUUUGGAAUAGGACAUCAUAGAGGGUGAGAAUCCCGUAUUUGACCAGUUACUUUCCAGCUGUUGUGAUACACUUUCAAAGAGUCGGAUUGUUUGGGAAUGCAGUCCAAAAUGGGUGGUAAAUUUCAUCUAAAGCUAAAUAUUGGCGAGAGACCGAUAGCGAACAAGUACCGUGAGGGAAAGAUGAAAAGAACUUUGAAAAGAGAGUUAAACAGUACGUGAAAUUGUCAAAAGGGAAGCGUUUGACACCAGUGUUGUUUAGUUCGAAAAUCAAUUCAAGAAUGUUUUGAUUUUGAGGAGUAUUGACUUUAUCAGGCUUGCUGCUUUCUUUCAUGAAAUUAUUAAUGCACUUUUCAGGUUAACAAGUCAACAUCAAUUUCUUUUGUCGUAAAAGGGUAUGAGGAAGGUGGCUUUCUUUUCGGAGAAAGUGUUUAUAGCCUUGUGCCUCUGCAAUCGGAGAGAUUGAGGUCUGCAGCGUAGAUCCUUCGGGGUUAGAUACAUUUGUGCUAAGUUAUAGCCUUUCAUAGACAACUUGUUGACUAUGAUCAGUCAUGUAGCUUACUCGCUUAUGCUAUUUUACCUACGCUUAGGAUGUUGAGUCGUAGAGCACGCAG
rnacentral:rRNA from 1 species